rnacentral:rRNA from 1 species
ACUCCUACGGGAGGCAGCAGUGGGGAAUUUUGGACAAUGGGCGCAAGCCUGAUCCAGCCAUGCCGCGUGCGGGAAGAAGGCCUUCGGGUUGUAAACCGCUUUUGUCAGGGAAGAAAAGGUUCUGGCUAAUACCUGGGACUCAUGACGGUACCUGAAGAAUAAGCACCGGCUAACUACGUGCCAGCAGCCGCGGUAAUACGUAGGGUGCAAGCGUUAAUCGGAAUUACUGGGCGUAAAGCGUGCGCAGGCGGUUAUGCAAGACAGAGGUGAAAUCCCCGGGCUCAACCUGGGAACUGCCUUUGUGACUGCAUGGCUAGAGUACGGUAGAGGGGGAUGGAAUUCCGCGUGUAGCAGUGAAAUGCGUAGAUAUGCGGAGGAACACCGAUGGCGAAGGCAAUCCCCUGGACCUGUACUGACGCUCAUGCACGAAAGCGUGGGGAGCAAACAGGAUUAGAAACCCCUGUAGUCCCAUG